UUCAUUGCUUAUCGAAAAUCACUGAACUAUAAUCCUUUAGUCUUUCAGCCAGCAUAGAGUAAAGUAAAAAAUUAAACAAGCUGGCC
ncrna:unclassified sequences RAGATH-27 RNA